rnacentral:rRNA from 1 species
UACAGAGGGUGCGAGCGUUAAUCGGAAUUACUGGGCGUAAAGGGCGCGUAGGCGGUCCUGCAAGUGAGAUGUGAAAUCCCCGGGCUUAACCUGGGAACUGCAUUUUAGACUGUGGGACUGGAGUACUGUAGAGGAUAGUGGAAUUUCCGGUGUAGCGGUGAAAUGCGUAGAGAUCGGAAGGAACACCAGUGGCGAAGGCGACUGUCUGGACAGAUACUGACGCUGAGGCGCGAAAGCGUGGGGAGCAAACAGG